CCCCUUUUUAAAGCACUCGUUGGGUCAUUUUCCAGUGACCUACUGAGCCGUCAAGAAAGGGCAGAAUGAAAACACUGCUUUUGGGUGAAGCGGCAAUAUCUUGUGUUGUUUUGCUUCAAUCAGUGGUGUGACAAGA
rnacentral:snoRNA from 1 species